CGGGGUGAGUAACGCGUGGGUAACCUGCCUCAUACAGGGGGAUAGCAGCUGGAAACGGCUGGUAAUACCGCAUAAGCGCACGGUAUCGCAUGAUACAGUGUGAAAAACUCCGGUGGUAUGAGAUGGACCCGCGUCUGAUUAGCUAGUUGGUGAGGUAACGGCCCACCAAGGCGACGAUCAGUAGCCGACCUGAGAGGGUGACCGGCCACAUUGGGACUGAGACACGGCCCAA
rnacentral:rRNA from 1 species